CACCGGUCGAAGAAAGAAAAGAUGUCAAACAGUACUGCCAAAUUUGUUUACAUUCCCUGACCUCUAGCCGCUAGGUUCAAGAGGAAGUGAUUCCCAUAUCCACUCCCAUACCCAGGCAUGAACUGCAAUAAGCUGCUGAAAAAUCACUAUGGCGAAACAACAACUGUAUCGAUUGAUUUUGGAGUUACGUCAGUGUGGACCAAGGUUUGGAUGCUUCUGUCAAGUAUUCUGGCCGAGAGACGACUGGAUAUGAUACUUAACAUCAGAAAAACAGCCGUGAGCAGGAUAGGCAACUUGAUGUGAUACUUCACCACCAGGAAAGUGGCCGUGAGCAGGAGAGGCAACUGGAUGUGAUACUUCAACACCAGAAACACGGCUUCUGACCGUAAGCAGGAGAGACAGCUCGAUGUGAUACUUCAACACCAGGAAAAUGGCUGUGAGCAGGAUAGAGAGCUCGAUGUGAUACUUCAACACCGGGAAAACGGCCAUGAGCCUGAGAGGCAACUCGAUGUGAUAUUUUAACACCAGAAACACGGCCAUGAGCAGGAGAGCCAGAGAGCCACACAAGUGGUCAGAAGAUGAUGGAGAGAAGAUACAGAGUUGGUCCUACAAAUUUACGUGAGGAGCAGCAACAAAGGCUCUAAUCCUCCACUUGAUGGGAGAAGACUGGGCAGCUGAAGUAGAUGAAGGUAAACACAAGCAUGCAACAUUUUCUCCUUACUACACAUCCGCACCUCUCUUGAAAAGCACAGCCACCUUUCAGACAAACUGCUCUAAUGAGUGUCUGAAGACGUUGCGGGAGCUAAAGUUGCUGCUGUGAUAGUCAACUCAAAACGCUAAGCAGAAUACACUGUUGACAGAUAUGUCACAGGAACCACAAAUCUGGAAACUGUCGUGGCAAUCAAGACAGGUAUGCAAAAAGACAUCACCACUGCAGAUGUCAACCUCCAAAUGCUGAAAGAUGUGUUACAAGAACUGUGCUCUAGGCAAAGAAGCAGGCAAAGCAGGUCUAGAAAUUGUCAUGGCAACCAACACAAGAAUGUGAGAAGAAAUGAAGUUGGAAAACAGGCCAUCCAACCUUGUUACCCCUGGUAGGCGUAACAACACCCAAAAGUCAGACAUCAUCUGCGCAUCAGCUCCUGAAUCAGGAGAUUAAGAUACCACUGCCCCCAAACUCUGAGCAAGAGUGGGAGCCAUGUAUAUGGUUAGAAAGUGACAGAGAGGAAUAUUCAGAGAUGGUCCUAUGAGUUCUCGUGCAAGGAGCAGCAAUGAAGUCUCUAGUCCUCCAGCACCUGAUGGGAGAAGACCGACAGACAAAACUGAAAAAGAUGAAGUAGACA